CCAGGAAUGGGAAUCGAACCCACGACCUUCCGCUUACCGGGCAGAUGCCAUGUCCACUAGGCUAUUUUUCCG